rnacentral:lncRNA from 1 species
CCAACACAGGGCGGCAACAGUGCAGGCACUUGGGAGAUGUUUGAUAAAGAACAAAGCCAGGCAUAUACCUGUAAUCCCAGCUACUUGGGCAGCCGAGGAGGAAGAAUCACAAGUUCAAGGGCAGCCUGGGUUAGAGAGAACCUGUCGGAGCUGACAAACAACCAGACUGAAGCCUUACUGAACACUCUCACAGGACCAACAUCGAGCUGGAUGCAGCGACACCAAGACGAGCGACAGAGCGGCAGAACCAUCUUGUGAAUAUCCCACCUGAGAAGUCUUGGGGCAGAAAUACACACACUUACAUAAGAAAUCAAACUUUGGAAAUGUACAACUUUGACAAGGCACAGCGAGCACACCUCUGCGACCCUGACCCAUGUAGACAAAGGAGAGCAAUGUCUCUGUGGCAAACUGAGUGACUUUUCCAAAGGCUUUUCCGGUGUCUACACCUUCUGCCACGUGACUGCCAUUCCUUCCACGGAGGCAGAAUACAUUCCCCACAGCACUAGCGCCCAGGUGAGUUGCCCCGGUUCAUGGAAACUGGGAAGACAGGAAGGAAGUGUGUUAAGGUCUGUACCUUAAGACACACUACACAUUACACCCUCUGCUCUCGAACUACUCCCCUGCCUUAGGCGUCCCCAUCUAUGGGUCCAAGGAGGGCGAGAGACAAAAGAAGCGGACUGAAGGAGCACCAAGCAGAGCAGAGUCCAGCCCGGAGCAGCAGAUGCCAAAUGACUCCCGGACACAGGAGCAGAUAUGAAUGAUUGUUAUUGAAGAUGCUAAGGUUUGAGGUAACUUGUCACAGAGUACUAAUAUGGCAACAAACUCUACUGAUAUCUUGUUUGCUGUUCUACUGCUGUUUCCCAAACCAUCUGGCUUACAUUUUUAGAAGCAUUAGAAUCUAAAGAAGAGAAUCUCAUCAAAAAGCAAGGAUUCUCCAAAAGUCAAUAUGCUCCAUGGGUGAAGUCAGACAAAAACUCAGCCACAGAGAUACACUGUGGAGAUAGGCACUGUUCCGACCUGGCUCUGCAAUGGAAAGGACAGAACCAGGAAAGUCCUGCCUAAGUUUGGGUUCAAAGUCAGCAUUUACACCACUUUAAAAAAUAAAAGGCCCUGGGAUGGUAGGACCCUGAAUACCUGGAGAAAUAAAACUCAAUUCCUUUCUCGAAGAAGGUCAUUUAAAAACCAAGAUUUAAAAACCUAUCCAGAGAUAAAAGUAUGAAGAACAUAAACCCCAACUUUAAAAGUAC